AACCGUAACAACAAAUAUGGACGGUUCACUAUGGAAAAUUUUUCACCACAGCAACCAGCCAAACAAAGCAUAAGAUUCCAGAAGUUGGUAAAUCAGCCCUAUGACGAGGCAAUUGAACUGUCCGAUGAAGAGGAUAUUGUAACCACAGCACUUCAAAAUAUAGAAUCUUCUGUCUCGUGUGGGCAAUAAGGCAACAAGUAAGG
rnacentral:lncRNA from 1 species